rnacentral:rRNA from 1 species
UACAGAGGGUGCGAGCGUUGUUCGGAAUUACUGGGCGUAAAGCGCGCGCAGGCGGCCCUUUAAGUCUACCCGUGAAAUGCCGGAGCUCAACUCCGUGCACGCCGGGGGAUACUGGAGGGCUGGAGACGAGUAGAGGCAAGCGGAAUUCCGGGUGUAGCGGUGGAAUGCGUAGAGAUCCGGAAGAACACCGGAGGCGAAGGCGGCUUGCUGGGCUUGGUCUGACGCUGAGGCGCGAAAGCAUGGGGAGCGAACAGG